ACCCGUAAAUCGGUCCCAACAGGCGUAGGGGCUAUUGUAAAUAUAGUGGAGAAAAGUGCUGGUUAUGGCGAUGAAUGUUGGCUGGUCAAAAGAUUGGGCUAUUGCUGAGAGAAGUCCGGACACCUGCCAUAACAAUGCUAAAACACGUUAUCGAGGCAGGUGGUGACUUGCCGCUGACUAGAUGGGCCCCUGAAACUGCCGUCGCGAAGACGACCAGGAGCAACAUCGGUGUGAGCGGCUCAGGGGUGUCGAGAGGUGUGCGCCGCUUUCUACCCAGUGGCUGUUAACAGCCACUGUGCCAACUCGCGUCUUAUGCAUCUUUCACUUCCACCCCUGGAGCAUAUAGCUCUAACGACUCCUCUCUGGACGGCCAAUGAAGGCAAGCCAGAGCUGAGAGUCCUGCGGGUCCCCUUGGGGUCCACACCGACCGACGAAGACACGCCGGAGACGGAGACCCUGACCGACUCUCGGGAGCACUCGGGUCCGUGGGGUCGUUACUCCCCAACAGCUCGCCACAAGCUGCCCUGCGGGCUUAUUAUUAUUAUUAUUAU